GGGAGGGGGCGCGCGUCGCCGCGGCAACCGGAGUCAACCGCGGGCGAAUGUUCCAACGGCCAUCUCCUCUCCCACCCGCCAUCGCUCUCUAUCCUCCCGCCGCGCGCGCGCGCCACUUCCCAGUUCAGGGGGCCGUUCCCGCCAUUUGGAGGGGGAGGGGAUGGAAACCCCCAUCAACCCCCGCGCGAUACUUGAGGGGCUUUCCUUCCACCUCCACCCCUUUUUUGCCUUCCGUUUGUGGGGCUGCGCGAGGUGUUAUCGCCUCUCUCAAACUGUGCCUUCGCACCGAGCACCCCUCGCUGUGCCAAAGUCAUCAGGAGAAGCUGCUCUGGCUUGAAAAAAGUGGGGGCAGGCGCUCUUUUUGUGUGACAUUGAUAACCUCUCUCCCCAGUUCCCUAUCGAGUCCGUCCUGCGAGGGACCGUUUUGCUUCGCCAGCCACGUCAUUUUACCACACGUUCACUUUCUGCCGCAGAAAACGCGGUUUGCCUCGCGUUUUACCUCACGUUCUGUGACAUAAUUUUGCUGCACGCAUUUUGCACCUGAUGCGUGUGGUCACCAUCUCCCUCGCCGCUUGGCACAAUGGGAGGGCAAAUUUUGUGACGUGAAAGAUUAGUUUCCUUGUUCCCAUUCAACACCGAAAUGUUCGAAUGUGAUUUAUCCAUUCUGAAAAGUUCCGGUGGAUGAAUGGAAGCUGCUGAAUGGAAUUAGUCAGCCAUCCACCUUCAGAGAUGGUUGAUCUAAGCAAGAGCAAGCUAAGAAUAGUGCCUCUCAUGACUGGUGGUAUUUUUCUACUCCCCAUUACAUUCACUAACCUUGCACAGUAAUCUCAUCUGCAUCAGGACUUCUAGGAGUGCAGCUGUGCUGGUCUUCAACACCCUUGCCGGCAGCAGAAAGCAUAAAAGAGGCCUGAAGAGCUUCUUUAAAGCCAACCCUGCGUACAACAUUAUGCAAGUAAACGAUCUUGUAGCACGGGCGUUGGGUUCCUCCACGGCAAAUGGCAUGUCCUGAGGAAGACCAAAAAGAAAAAGAAAAACCAUUAGCAAACCAGCAGGAAAAGUGCAGAGUCAAGUGUUCUGUUUUAAGAAGUCAACCAUGGAACAUGGAUUUCAGGACAGGAUGUUAUAAACCCCUACGAUGCAAAGUGGUGUUUCUAAAACACAUUU